GGACAGUCACAGAGCACAAUGAGAGAGGCACUACAAAGGAGAGGGGACAGUCACAGAGCACAAUGAGAGAGGCACGACAAAGGAGAGGGGACAGUCACAGAGCACAGUGAGAGAGGCACUACAAAGGAGAGGGGACAGUCACAGAGCACAGUGAGAGAGGCACUACAAAGGAGAGGGGACAGUCACAGAGCACAGUGAUAGGCACUACAAAGGAGAGGGGACAGUCACAGAGGUUUUCAAUACAGUAUCAAACUUAGGGGAACACGAUUAUUUAGUGUUGUGGAUAUGUGGUGGUAUUGAACAUGUUGUGGUAUUGAACAUGUUGUGGUAUUGAACAUGUGGAGAUGUGGGGGUAUUGAACAUGUUGUGGAUAUGUGGAGGUAUUGAACAUGUUGUGUUGUGGAUAUGUUGUGGUAUUGAACAUGUUGUGGAUAUGUGGUGGUAUUGAACAUGUUGUGUUGUGGAUAUGUGGUGGUAUUGAACAUGUUGUGUUGUGGAUAUGUGGAGGUAUUGAACAUGUUGUGGAUAUGUUGUGGUAUUGAACAUGUUGUGGAUAUGUGGUGGUAUUGAACAUGUUUCGAUGUGGAUAUGUGGUGGUAUUGAAUAUGUUGUGGAUAUGUGGGGGUAUUGAACAUGUUGUGGAUAUGUGGGGGUAUUGAACAUGUUGUGGAUAUGUGGAGGUAUUGAACAUGUUGUGGAUAUGUGGGGGUAUUGAACAUGUUGUGUAUAUGUGGGGGUGUAGGGAUGUUAUAUGAUGUACCAUUUUAUCUUUAGCUCAUUCAGUACAAACAGUUCACUGUUUUAUAGCUAAUGGGGAUCCCUAAUAAACCCCAGGAAGAGUAGCUAAUGGGGAUGCGCCUGGCACAUACAUAUACAGUGGGGCAAAAAAGUAUUUAGUCAGCCACCAAUUGUGCAAGUUCUCCCACUUAAAAAGAUGAGAGGCCUGUAAUAUUCAUCAUAGGUACACUUCAACUAUGACAGACAAAAUGAGAAAGAAAAAUCCAGAAAAUCACAUUGUAGGAUUUUUAAUGAAUUUAUUUGGAAAUUAUGGUGGAAAAUAAGUAGUUGGUCAACAACAAAAGUUUAUCUCAAUACUUUGUUAUAUACCCUUUC
rnacentral:lncRNA from 13 species